ACGGAUUCAUGUCGGCUCGGAUGAAAUUGAAUUGACGGCAUUGUGUAUUGAAAUCAUAGCCGCUGAUAUGUAAUUGAAUUGACGGAAUCGUGUUGGCUCGUAUGAAAUUGAAUUAACGGUAUUGUUUCUUGAAAUGGUUGCUGAUAUGUAAUUGAUUUGACUGUAUCGUGUCGGCUCAAAUGAAAUUGAAUUGAGAGUAUCAUGUCUUAAAGUGGUGGCUAGUAUGAAAUUGAAUUGACGGUAUCGUUUCGUUUUUAAAACGAAAGCUCAUGAAAUUGAAUUGAUGGUAUCUGUCUUAAAAUUAUGGCUCGUAUGAGUUUGAUUUCUGUAAUCAAUUGUUCAUCUCUCUCUUUCCGAAGCGACAUGCGAUUAAAAGAAUGAG
rnacentral:lncRNA from 1 species